rnacentral:lncRNA from 1 species
UGACAGCUAAAAUAACUAUAUUUUAAAAAAUCAAAGACAAAACCACCAAACAAGUUAUAAUAACUUAAAAAAUUCACACUAAAUAAAUAUAAAAUACAAAAAAUGAGAGAUUAUUUUUCACACCGACAAAAUUCUUUUCCUUAUUUGCUCUAUUUCUUCAAGCUUAUAUAUCCUUUUUGAUGAAUGCUGCUCUUGAAAGAUCUUUUUUUAAAGAUAGCAGAAAAUCCACCAUUGAUUAGAAUGACUGCUGAGCAUAAGAAGAAUGUAAUUAAGAAAAAUAAUUUAUAAGUAACUGAAAAGAAAUAAUUAUAAGCCUCAAAGACAUACCUGGUAUUUUGCACUCAAACACACCUAAUGUCUGAUCUCACAGACUUUUUGACGACUAAACAUAAAUUAACUGAAAUAAUCUGACUCAAGUAAAAGCUAUAAAACACAGGUUUGUGUAUUAUCUUGAUCUGAGAACAUAUACCAACAAACACACGCCUGAUCCUUAUACUCGUCCAGUGAAAUUGAAAAUGCUAUAGUAAAUAUAGAAACGUAUGUGUGUGGCUUAUAACUAUAGAUAGAUAUUUGGGCUCUGUGUUAGUUUGUAUUCCAG